CCUACGGGUGGCUGCAGUCGAGAAUCUUCGGCAAUGGGCGCAAGCCUGACCGAGCGACGCCGCGUGCGGGAUGAAGGUCUUCGGAUUGUAAACCGCUGUCGGAGGGGAUGAAGUGUAUGGGAGCAAUCUCCUGUAUUUGACAGAGCCUCGGAGGAAGCACGGGCUAAGUUCGUGCCAGCAGCCGCGGUAAUACGAACUGUGCAAACGUUAUUCGGAAUCACUGGGCUUAAAGGGUGCGUAGGCGGUCGCACAAGUCAGGUGUGAAAUCCCCCGGC
rnacentral:rRNA from 1 species